rnacentral:rRNA from 1 species
CAGUCGCCGCGGUAAUACGAAGGGUGCAAGCGUUAAUCGGAAUUAUUGGGCGUAAAGCGUGUGUAGGUGGUUGUUUAAGUCUGUCGUGAAAGCCCUGGGCUCAACCUGGGAAUUGCGAUGGAUACUGGGCGACUAGAGUGCGGUAGAGGAUAGUGGAAUUUCCGGUGUAGCAGUGAAAUGCGUAGAGAUCGGAAGGAACAUCUGUGGCGAAGGCGACUAUCUGGGCCAACACUGACACUGAGACACGAAAGCGUGGGGAGCAAACAGGAUUAGAUACCCCCGUAGUCCCUGUCUCUUAUAC